rnacentral:lncRNA from 7 species
AUUGGUUGGUUCCUCAAAAUACAUUCGAAGUGCACCCACCCCAAUAGCUGUGGCAAUGCCCAUUUCUCCUUUGAGACUCUCUAAGAAGGCAUUUUUAGAUGUUCGAACUGAUAUAGGUUUGAAAAGUUUUCCUAGCUGAAAAUUACAAUUGACGGCUUAUUGACAGUUAUCAUGUGCGCAUGGGGCUGCAAAAUUACAGAUAGCGUACUGCUGGUUUUACAGUUACAUGUCUUUAGAGUCUCAACAUUCUUACAAAGAAAGAAACAUGUGGAUUGUACUAAAGUAUAAUAACUCAACCUUUACUUGCUCAUGAAAUAAUUUUUAUUUUUCGAAGUUCCAAUUUCUGUACAAGUAAACUCAAAGAA